UACGUAGGGGGCUAGCGUUGUUCGGAAUUACUGGGCGUAAAGGGCGCGUAGGUGGCCUUUUGAGUCAGACGUGAAAUCCCCCGGCUUAACCUGGGAACUGCGUCUGAUACUGGAAGGCUUGAGUUCGGGAGAGGGAUGUGGAAUUCCAGGUGUAGCGGUGAAAUGCGUAGAUAUCUGGAGGAACACCGGUGGCGAAGGCGGCAUCCUGGACCGAAACUGACACUGAGGCGCGAAAGCCAGGGGAGCAAACGGG
rnacentral:rRNA from 1 species